rnacentral:misc_RNA from 1 species
CAGCACCAGCCACAGAUGCAUUAGUACCAUUUUGCUGAAAAUUUCUACAAACUGGAGGUGGAACCACUCCUGACAACUGUGAUGCCAUUGGUGAGGGAGUGUUGUAGAAUGACAUGUUAGUAGAAACCCCACCUAAAUUCUGGAUAGCAGCUGCUCCAUUAUAAUUUCCAGAAAUUUCUCGAAGAUUAUUGCUGUGUGUAUGUUUUGAUUGCCUAGGG